GGUUUAUUGAAUAUAUACAGCUAAAUUGCAAACAGAUAAAAACAUUGGCAGGAUUAUUGUAAUAACCUGCAGUUUCAUAAGACUAUAUAUUUAAGACGCAGGUGGCACUGUGGUCUAAACCACUGAGCUUCUUGGGCUUGCUGAUCAGAAGGUUGUCAGUUCAAAUCCCCACAACGAGGUGAGCUCCUGCUGCUCUGCCCCAGCUCCUGCCAACCUAGCAGUUCAAAAGCAUGCCAGUGCCAGUAGAUAAAUAGGUACUGCUGUGACGAGAAGAUAAACACUGUUUCUGUGCACUCUGGUUUCCAUCACAGUGUUCCGUUGCCCCAGAAGUGGUUCAGUCAUGCUGGCCACAUGACCCGGAAAGCUGUCUGUGGUCAAACGCCGGCUCCCUCAGCCUGAAAGUGAGAUGUUCGCCGCAACCCCAUAGUCACUUUUGACUGGAUUUAACCGUCCAGGGGUCCUUUACCUUUACCUAGAUUUAAAGCAGAUAAUUAAUUGAGCAAAUUAAGUGAAUUUGGAUAUGCAGAAGAUAUUUUAAAAAAUAAUUUAAGGAACUGCAGUAAGACGGGGAAGGAAGUCAAACUCUGAAAUAUUAAAAUGACUGUUCAGUUAAUGAAAUGUAUAAAUUUGAAAAGUAUAUCUAUAAAAACUUGCUGCCUUGCAUCUAGCAUGCAGGGGCCUGAUGGAGGAUGGAAGUGGCACAGAGGAGGAGUUAAGAGACAGGGGGAAAUGGGAUAACCCCAAAACCUUGAUAUUACAAAUGCAUGUUACACAGCACAGUGGCAUGUAAUUGAUUUAGAAAUGCUUUUUGCGUUAUUGCUGAAAAGCGGGUUUUAGCGCUGGGGGGAAAAACAGUGGGGAUAACCCCUAAGCUAAAUAACAGCACAGGGAGUGAACUAAGUGCCUGAAUAGUUGUGGCUAAUCCUCGGCUAACAGAAGAUCAUAUCUUCUUACUUCUCUGAAAUCCUUUGCAGCCCCACCUUUCUGUUGCCACUUCCUAAGCAAACACUUUCUCACAGCCACAUGCCUAAACCACAUCCUAAUGCCAAGGCAGACUGCCCUUUGUUAAUGAUGAGCAUGUUGACGCUAAGCAGGCACCUGAUUCUGCUACCUCUCAGUCUCGGGGUUCUUCCAGGUGGGGGCUGAAUAUUGCAAACUGAUCAUUGGCAGGUGACACAGUUUUCGGUAACUUUUUGGAUUUCCCACCCAAAAUGUAAAUCUGUAUUAAAUGGCUGGGGGUGAGGGAAGGAUAGUGGCUGGCAUUUUGAUUCCAGCAAUGCUGCGUGGAUGCUGUGAAAAGCCUGCAUGCGCAAGAAGCAUAGAUACAUGUCUGGAUCAUUAUUUGGGCAGUGUGGGAGAGAGAGGGAGAGAGAGACAGGGAGGGAUAGAGAGAUAGAGAGGGAUAGAGAGACAUAGAGAGAUAGAGAUGGAUAGAGAGACAUAGAGAGAUAGGGGU